UACGAAGGGGGCUAGCGUUGUUCGGAAUUACUGGGCAUAAAGCGCACGUAGGCGGUGACGUAAGUCGGGUGUGAAAUCCCUCGGCUCAACCGAGGAACUGCGCUCAAUACUACCGUGCUCGAGGGAGAUAGAGGUGAGCGGAACUUAGGGUGGAGCGGUGAAAUGCGUUGAUAUCCUAAGGAACACCGGUGGCGAAAGCGGCUCACUGGAUCUCUUCUGACGCUGAGGCACGAAAGCUAGGGUAGCGAACGGG
rnacentral:rRNA from 1 species